GCGCGGGUGGCGGAAUUGGUAGACGCGCAAGGUUGAGGGCCUUGUGGCCGCAAGGCUGUGGGGGUUCGAUUCCCCCCUCGCGCA
rnacentral:tRNA from 1 species